UGGGGAAUUUUGCGCAAUGGGCGAAAGCCUGACGCAGCAACGCCGCGUGCGGGAAGAAGGCCCUCGGGUUGUAAACCGCUUUCGGCAGGAACGAAAUUGACGGUACCUGCAGAAGAAGCCCCGGCCAACUACGUGCCAGCAGCCGCGGUAAUACGUAGGGGGCGAGCGUUGUCCGGAUUCAUUGGGCGUAAAGAGCUCGUAGGCGGUUCGGUAAGUCAGAUGUGAAAACUCCAGGCUCAACUUGGAGACGCCAUCUGAUACUGUCGUGACUAGAGUCCGGUAGGGGAGCACGGAAUUCCUGGUGUAGCGGUGAAAUGCGCAGAUAUCAGGAGGAACACCAGCGGCGAAGGCGGUGCUCUGGGCCGGAACUGACGCUGAGGAGCGAAAGCGUGGGUAGCGA
rnacentral:rRNA from 1 species